UACGUAGGCGGAAAAUUAAGUCAGUAGUGAAAUCCUGCAGCUUAACUGUAGAACUGUUAUUGAUACUGGUUUUCUUGAAUAUAGUUGAGGUAGGCGGAAUGUGUAAUGUAGCGGUGAAAUGCUUAGAUAUUACACAGAACACCGAUUGCGAAGGCAGCUUACUAAGCUAUGAUUGACGCUGAGGUACGAAAGCGUGGGGAGCGAACAGGAUUAGAUACCCUGGUAGUCA
rnacentral:rRNA from 1 species